rfam:Nicotiana attenuata strain TT chromosome 6, whole genome shotgun sequence.
AUCUUUGCGCUUGGGGCAAUGACCCAGCUAGUGAGGUACUAACCGAGGCGCGUCUAUUGCUGAUUGAAAACUAUAUAUAACAGUGUAUAACAUGUCGUUAUACACUAUUAUACAGAAUGGAUACACU